rnacentral:rRNA from 1 species
AACGAACGCUGGCGGCAUGCCUAACACAUGCAAGUCGUACGUGAAAGUCCUUCGGGAUGAGUAAAGUGGCGAACGGGUGAGUAAUGCAUAGGAACAUACCUGCAGGCUGGGGAUAACUGCUGGAAACGGCAGCUAAUACCGAAUAACUUCGUAAGAAGAAAGGUGGCCUAUCCUUGGAAGCUACUGCCUGUAGAUUGGCCUAUGUCCCAUUAGCUAGUUGGUAGGGUAAUGGCCUACCAAGGCUUCGAUGGGUAGCUGGUCUGAGAGGACGAUCAGCCACACUGGGACUGCGACACGGCCCAGACUCCUACGGGAGGCAGCAGUGGGGAAUCUUGCACAAUGGACGAAAGUCUGAUGCAGCAAUGCCGCGUGAGUGAAGAAGGCCUUCGGGUCGUAAAGCUCUUUCGGCCGGGAAGAAGGGUCAUCUUGUGAACAAUUAGAUGAUUUGACGGUACCGGAAGAAGAAGCACCGGCUAACUUCGUGCCAGCAGCCGCGGUAAUACGAAGGGUGCGAGCGUUGUUCGGAAUCAUUGGGCGUAAAGAGCACGUAGGCGGGUUUGUAAGUCGAUUGUGAAAGCCCCGGGCUUAACCUGGGAACUGCAGUCGAAACUGCUAAUCUUGAAUGUUCGAGGGGAUGAUGGAAUUCCUGAAGUAGAAGUGAAAUUCGUAGAUAUCAGGAGGAACACCGGCGGCGAAGGCGGUCAUCUGGCGAAACAUUGACGCUGGGGUGCGAAAGCGUGGGGAGCAAACAGGAUUAGAUACCCUGGUAGUCCGCGCCGUAAACGAUGGAUACUAGAUGUUCGGAGAGUUAACCCUCUGAGUAUCGUAGCUCACGCAUUAAGUAUCCCGCCUGGGGAGUACGGCCGCAAGGUUGAAACUCAAAGGAAUUGACGGGGGCCCGCACAAGCGGUGGAGUAUGUGGUUUAAUUCGAAGCAACGCGCAGAACCUUACCUGGGUUUGACAUCCAGAGACCGCUACAGAGAUGUAGUUUUCCCUUCGGGGACUCUGAGACAGGUGCUGCAUGGCUGUCGUCAGCUCGUGUCGUAAGAUGUUGGGUUAAGUCCCGCAACGAGCGCAACCCUUGUCUUUAGUUGCCACCAUUAAGUUGGGAACUCUAGAGAGACUGCCGGUGUUAAACCGGAGGAAGGCGGGGAUGACGUCAAGUCCUCAUGGCCCUUACGCCCAGGGCUACACACGUACUACAAUGGCAGAAACAAACCGUUGCGAAACCGCGAGGUCAAGCUAAUCGGAAAAACACUGCCCCAGUUCGGAUUGAAGUCUGCAACUCGACUUCAUGGAGUUGGAAUCGCUAGUAAUCGCAGAUCAGCACGCUGCGGUGAAUACGUUCCCGGGCCU